AAGCCAUUUAGAGCUGAAUUUGUUAUUCAGAAAAUUUGUGCUCACUUUACUCUGAGUUCUAGGGUUGAAAGCUUCAGUCCUUCUGAGGAGGAAAGCCUGGGGUGGAGUUGAAGGCUGACCAGGUCCUGAUGCAGGGAGGACCCCUCACAGCUGUUUCGAGCAUGCACCACCAGUCUGGCAGCUUCUGGGUAAUUCACACCUGCUCCCUACCCUGUGGUAUUUCUGUCACUGAACAUGCAAGGUGUUUUUCUUGAUCCCUGACAAAAGGCACAUAAUCUAUGAGCGCUGACAUACCCCAGCUAAAUGAGGCUUCCACGUCUGCCUAGAGAUUGCAACACAGAAAUCAGUGUGAGCUGUAAAACCCUCCCAAGACUCCAGAAAGGUUCUUGAGCCAUUCCUAAAUGCUGACUUUGUUUCCUACACAAGCAUAUUGUAGGGAAGUGUUGUUUGGACUAUACCAGAAGAAAGAAGCAUGAUCAUUGCCUUACUGUAGCAGGAUUUUGUCAAACUUUUAAUUCAUCAAGCCUUAAUACUGUUUGGAAUCCCCUCAAAGUACAAAGACCUUCAGAACCCCUAGAAAACCCUCAAAAAACCACACUGUGAGUUGUAAAGCAUAGCUCAAAUAUCUACAACCAAGCCACAGUCUAUGUGUUUUUGAUACAGCACAAUGGAUCACUGAAGAACUCUGCAACUGCUCACAGAGAAAUCCUAAACCUGUAAAUCAUGAACGUGGCAGAUUGCAACAGUCCUUUCAAAUAUUUUACAGUUUCUGGUACAUUUGAGGAUUUAGAGAACAGCAGGUUUUUACAUACAUAUCUCCUCUGCGCA
rnacentral:lncRNA from 1 species